rnacentral:rRNA from 1 species
GCAAGUCGAGCGGAAACGAUGAAAAGCUUGCUUUUCAGGCGUCGAGCGGCGGACGGGUGAGUAAUGCUUGGGAAUAUGCCUUAUGGUGGGGGACAACAGUUGGAAACGACUGCUAAUACCGCAUAAUGUGCUUAACGUGGUGUUAAGUACCAAAGGGGGGGACCUUCGGGCCUCUCGCGAUUGGAUUAGCCCAAGUGAGAUUAGCUAGUAGGUGGGGGAAAGGCUCACCUAGGCGACGAUCUCUAGCUGGUUUGAGAGGAUGAUC